GUAGGUGGCAGAGUAUGUCUGUAGUGAAAGCGUGUGGCUCAACCAUAUACACAUUACAGAAACUGCUCAGCUAGAGGGCGAGAGAGGUUACUAGAAUUCCUAGUGUAGGAGUGAAAUCCGUAGAUAUUAGGAGGAAUACCGAUGGCGUAGGCAGGUAACUGGCUCGUCCCUGACACUAAGGCACGAAAGCGUGGGUAGCAAACGGGAUUAGAUACCCCGGUAGUCCACGCCGUAAACGAUGGAUGCUAGCUGUAAGAGGUAUCGACCCCUCUUGUAGCGAAGCUAACGCGUUAAGCAUCCCGCCUGUGGAGUACGGUCGCAAGACUAAAACAUAAAGGAAUUGACGGGGACCCGCACAAGCGGUGGAGCGUGUUGUUUAAUUCGAUGGUAAACGAAGAACCUUACCCAGGUUUGACAUCCUUGGAAUUUUGCCGAAAGGCGAGAGUGCUUUAUUGAGCCAAGUGACAGGUGUUGCAUGGCCGUCGUCAGCUCGUGUCGUGAGAUGUUUGGUUAAGUCCAUCAACGAGCGCAACCCUUAUAGUCUGUUGUAUUUUUCAGGCUAGACUGCCCCGGUAACGGGGAGGAAGGAGGGGAUGAUGUCAGGUCAGUAUUACCCUUACAUCUGGGGCUACAAACACGCUACAAUGGCCGGUACAAAGGGCAGCCAAGUCGCGAGACGGAGCAAAUCCCAUCAAAGCCGGUCCCAGUUCAGAUUGCGGGCUGAAACUCGCCUGCAUGAAGUCGGAAUCGCUAGUAACGGUAGGUCAGCUAUACUACCGUGAAUACGUUCCCGGGUCUUGUACACACCGCCCGUCAAACCAUGAAAGUCGGGGGUACCUGACGUGUGAGCUUCGUCUCGCCCUAAGGUAAACCAGAUGAUUGGGGUU
rnacentral:rRNA from 1 species